GGAUUCCCCUAGUAACUGCGAGUGAAGCGGGAAAAGCUCAAAUUUAAAAUCUGGCGGUCUCUGGCCGUCCGAGUUGUAAUCUAGAGAAGURAUGCCCGUGCUGGACCGUGUAUAAGUCUCCUGGGAUGGGGCGUCAUAGAGGGUGAGAAUCCCGUCUUUGACACGGACUACCAGKGCAUUGUGGUAUGCUCUCAAAGAGUCGAGUUGUUUGGGAAUGCAGCUCAAAAUGGGUGGUAAAUUCCAUCUAAAGCUAAAUAUUGGCGAGAGACCGAUAGCGAACAAGUACCGUGAGGGAAAGAUGAAAAGAACUUUGGAAAGAGAGUUAAACAGUACGUGAAAUUGCUGAAAGGGAAACGCUUGAAGUCAGUCGCGUUGGCCGGGGAUCAGCCUUGCUUUUGCAUGGUGUACUUUCUGGUUGAYGGGUCAGCAUCAAUUUUGACCGCUGGAAAAAGACCUGGGGAAUGUGGCAGCUUCGGCUGUGUUAUAGCCCCUAGUCGCAUACAGUGGUUGGGAUUGAGGAACUCAGCACGCCGCAAGGCCGGGUUUCGACCACGUUCGUGCUUAGGAUGCUGGCAUAAUGGCUUUAAGCGACCCGUCUUGAAACACGGACCAAGGAGUCUAACAUGCCUGCGAGUAUUUGGGUGGAAAACCCAAGUGCGUAAUGAAAGUGAAAGUUGAGAUCCCUGUCGUGGGGAGCAUCGACGCCCGGACCAGAACUUUUGGGACGGAUCCGCGGUGGAGCAUGUAUGUUGGGACCCGAAAGAUGGUGAACUAUGCCUGAAUAGGGUGAAGCCAGAGGAAACUCUGGUGGAGGCUCGUAGCGAUUCUGACGUGCAAAUCGAUCGUCAAAUUUGGGUAUAGGGGCGAAA
rnacentral:rRNA from 1 species